ACAAAUUAAUAAAUCACAACAAUAUUAUAUUUAUAAAAAGUGCAAUUUAUUUAUGUGUUGGAAACCACGACAAAAGAAGUAAAACAAUAUCAAAGCGUAAAAGGGUGUAUUUUUUCAUAACAGAAUUCACACUGAAUAUCAAAAUUUGUCUAUACAGAAACAUUUGACAGAAACGUCCACUCAAAGUGAAUAACUAUCGUUUUUUUUCUUUUUCUUUUUUUUUUUUUUUUUUUUUGCACUCGACUUCAAUCUUAAUUGUCUAGGAGUGUCAGUUUUAUUGUCGAUGUUCGGUGGUUUUCUCUGGGCACUCCGGCUUCCUCAACCAAUAAAAACUGGCCGACACGAAAUAGUCUCAUUUACAGGUUACAACGUCUUUGUUUCCUGCUACAUUUGUAUCAAGAGCAGGAUAAACAAAACAGAAAACAAGAUAAUAUAUGAUGUUUCAGUGGGUUUUCUCUGAUUUGAGUCAUAAAUUGUAACUCGUGACAAUACAGAAACAGGUUCGAAAAAAAGUAGUGCACAGUAAGUCCCCAUUGAAAUUCUGAUAUACGGAAUCUCCAUUGCGAACAAUAGAAUAAGAACGUUUAUCGAAUUUUUAAUACUGGAAGUACAUCAUAUAGAGAUGUUUACAAUGAACAAAAUUAG
rnacentral:lncRNA from 1 species